rnacentral:rRNA from 1 species
GAUGAACGCUGGCGGCGUGCCUAAUACAUGCAAGUCGAGCGAACGGACGAGAAGCUUGCUUCUCUGAUGUUAGCGGCGGACGGGUGAGUAACACGUGGAUAACCUACCUAUAAGACUGGGAUAACUUCGGGAAACCGGAGCUAAUACCGGAUAAUAUUUUGAACCGCAUGGUUCAAAAGUGAUAGACGGUCUUGCUGUCACUUAUAGAUGGAUCCGCGCUGCAUUAGCUAGUUGGUAAGGUAACGGCUUACCAAGGCAACGAUGCAUAGCCGACCUGAGAGGGUGAUCGGCCACACUGGAACUGAGACACGGUCCAGACGCCUACGGGAGGCAGCAGUAGGGAAUCUUCCGCAAUGGGCGAAAGCCUGACGGAGCAACGCCGCGUGAGUGAUGAAGGUCUUCGGAUCGUAAAACUCUGUUAUUAGGGAAGAACAUAUGUGUAAGUAACUGUGCACAUCUUGACGGUACCUAAUCAGAAAGCCACGGCUAACUACGUG